AGGGAUGUAGCGCAUCUUGGUAGCAUGCUUGUUUUGGGUACAAAAUGUCGCAAGUUCAAAUCCUAUCAUCCCUA
rfam:Picea glauca, whole genome shotgun sequence.